GUUACUUUGGCAGAUUAGUGCAUUGGAUUUAGAAUCUUUUUAAGUAAGUUAAGUUACAGGUAAUA
rnacentral:tRNA from 1 species